rnacentral:rRNA from 1 species
UACGGAGGAUCCGAGCGUUAUCCGGAUUUAUUGGGUUUAAAGGGUGCGCAGGCGGAAUGGUAAGUCAGGGGUGAAAUUCUACGGCUCAACUGUAGGCGUGCCUUUGAUACUGCCAAACUAGAGUUAAGUUGAAGUGGGCGGAAUGUGUUGUGUAGCGGUGAAAUGCUUAGAUAUAACACAGAACACCGAUCGCGAAGGCAGCUCACUAAACUUAUACUGACGCUCAUGCACGAAAGCGUGGGGAUCAAACAGGAUUAGAAACCCGGGUAGU